CCUUUUUUGAUAUUUUACCAAAAUCAUCAGAUCUCUCGAUGGUCGUGAGUGACUUCGAAGACGACGACGACGAGUCACACUUCCCCUGAGCUUCUCGCUUCUCAUACUCUUUCAAAUUCUGGGGCCAAUGAUUUAAACAGACAUUGAUUUUGGAACUCCGUGGUUCAAUGCACGGCCAAGUUUAUUAGAAACACUUUGGUUUGCUGGAGCUGAAACCGAAUCAGUCAAGGAUGGUGAGUUCCAUUUUUGCAUUGUGAGCCUUCUCAAAAUGAGAUACAAGUAAUGGCCGGUUUAGCUAUUGGUGUUUCCAGCAUCAAGUCUGGUGAACGUGCGCUCUUGCAUGUUUGCUGGGAAUUUAGCAUAUAGGAGAGAUGGAAACUCUUCUUUUUCCCAAUGUUCCAUCUAUAGCGGAAUUGUUAGAUGACGCUGAAGUUGUUGGAUUUGAUGAAACAAAGGAGGAACGUUUUUUCUUUAAGAUCAUUUGCUGAUUCUUGUUUCCUUACCUGAACACUCCACAACCAAGCUUUUAUCCCAAGCUCUUUGCUUAUAGCUGACUUAGAGGUUGGAUUGUACAGGGAAAAGCUCGCAGUGAUAUGACUAUGGAGGAAAGGUUUGGUGCAGCACACAGAAGGAAAAUGGAUGGGGCUCUCUGUUUAAGGAGGAUAAAUUGGAGGAGGCCAAUACGAAAUGGUUAGGAAUCUCUCUUUCUUUCUAACAAUUACGGUCAAAGUUUUGGUUUUCAAGGCAUACUCAGCGACUCUGCCCGAGGCUCUUGCAUCUCCUUUCGGCUCUAAAACAAAGAGCCUUAACUGGUUGAUAGUGUUAUCGCAAUGGUUGGUUUGCCUUUUCUGCCGGAGUUAAAGCAGAUAAAGAGGUAUGAGAAGCUUAACAAUUCAAUUAUAUAAGACCAAAGUGAAAGAUCACAACUCUCAAUUCUCCUAUGUCGGAAUUGAAUUUCUUAUCUUAUUACUGAUUUGUGCAGAAUUUACAAGGAGGAGCUAGCUUAGCUACUACCAUGAAGAUUUGGGGAAGCUGAGAUGUUGCCAGGAGAAGUAAGCACAAACCAAUAGUUGAGAGAUAUAAACAUAAACAGCAAAAGAGAGACUCAUAAGCAUCAGGUCCUUGACGUCUCCUUUCUUCUUCUCUGGCUUCAGAUUCUUCCCAAUCUUCCCAGCCUCUGAAAUCAUCCUUCUCAAUGUUCUCUGGAUCACUCCUUCAUUCUCUUCUGGUAAUUUCUGCUUCCGACAAGACAUCACUCUCAUAGAUCUAACUCCGUGUCUGCUUGAGGCUUGUCUCUUUGUACGGUGGUUAGUGCAGAGUGGGUGGUAGUAGAAGGUGGUGGAGAGAGCCGCCAUGAGAAGAUGAAUAGAAUAAUUGAAGAAAGUUUUUUGUUUUGGGAAUCAAAAGUGAGCAGGAAAAUAUCAGAAUCUUGAUAGCUUAACGACAAAAAUGAUUUGAAAAAUGGGUGGAUAGAUCUCAUCUAACACACACACAUGUAGUCACAAGGUACACGCCAAUGCAAAACCAAAUUGGCCGAAUUUCUAUUCGGUUCG
rnacentral:lncRNA from 1 species